rnacentral:rRNA from 1 species
GACGAACGCUGGCGGCAUGCCUAACACAUGCAAGUCGAACGAGGUAGAAAUACCUAGUGGCGGACGGGUGCGUAACACGUGAGCAACCUGCCUCUUACAACGGGAUAACACAGAGAAAUUUGUGCUAAUACGGUAUGAGACUACGAGAUGGCAUCAUCUAGUGGUUAAAGUUCAGGCGGUAAGAGAGGGGCUCGCGGCCCAUUAGAUAGUUGGUGAGGUAACGGCUCACCAAGUCGACGAUGGGUAGCCGACCUGAGAGGGUGAUCGGCCACACUGGAACUGAGAUACGGUCCAG